rnacentral:rRNA from 1 species
GACGAACGCUGGCGGCGUGCUUAACACAUGCCAGUCGAACGAUGAAGCCAGCUUGCUGGUGGAUUAGUGGCGCACGGGUGAGUAACACGUGGGUGAUCUGCCCCAAACUUUGGGAUAAGCCUGGGAAACUGGGUCUAAUACCGAAUAUGACCGAUACUCGCAUGGGUGUUGGUGGAAAGCUCCGGCGGUUUGGGAUGGGCCCGCGGCCUAUCAGCUUGUUGGUGGGGUAAUGGCCUACCAAGGCGACGACGGGUAGCCGGCCUGGGAGGGCGACCGGCCACACUGGGACUGAGACACGGCCCAGACUCCUACGGGAGGCAGCAGUGGGGAAUAUUGCACAAUGGGCGCAAGCCUGAUGCAGCGACGCCGCGUGAGGGAUGACGGCCUUCGGGUUGUAAACCUCUUUCACCAGGGACGAAGCGAAAGUGACGGUACCUGGAGAAGAAGCACCGGCCAACUACGUG